GAGGAAUAUUGGUCAAUGGUCGGCAGACUGAACCAGCCAAGUCGCGUGAGGGAAGACGGCCCUACGGGUUGUAAACCUCUUUGUCGGAGAGUAAAGUACGCUACGUGUAGUGUAUUGCAAGUAUCCGAAGAAAAAGCAUCGGCUAACUUCC
rnacentral:rRNA from 1 species